rnacentral:rRNA from 1 species
GACGAACGCUGGCGGCGUGCCUAAUACAUGCAAGUCGAACGCUUCUUUUUCACCGAACUUCGGUUCAUCGAAAAAGAGGAGUGGCGAACGGGUGAGUAACACGUGGGUAACCUGCCCAUCAGAAGGGGAUAACACUUGGAAACAGGUGCUAAUACCAUAUAAUGCUUUUUCUCGCAUGAGAGCAAGCUGAAAGGCGCUUUUGCGUCACUGAUGGAUGGACCCGCGGUGCAUUAGCUAGUUGGUGAGGUAACGGCUCACCAAGGCCACGAUGCAUAGCCGACCUGAGAGGGUGAUCGGCCACACUGGGACUGAGACACGGCCCAGACUCCUACGGGAGGCAGCAGUAGGGAAUCUUCGGCAAUGGACGAAAGUCUGACCGAGCAACGCCGCGUGAGUGAAGAAGGUUUUCGGAUCGUAAAAACUCUGUU